AUGCACUUCCGCAUGAAAAAUAUCCCACUGAACAAAAAAAUUACUGUACCCACUAAAAAUAUCUUCUUAGAAGAAACUUGGUUAGAACCCAAGAAACGGAUAACAAUUUGCUCAGGAAUACAAAUAGCAAGCACAAGAAAAACGAACAAAAAGAAAUCGAUCAAAAAAAAGAUGAAAACCAUUCCAAGAAAGCAAGAAAGUAAUGGAGAUUGUUUUGUUUGUUGCGUGAGCCCGCGCGGCCAUCAUCGCGCGCGCUCCGACCGCGGGCAGUCGUCAUCGCUCGCCGCCGGCAGCUGCCGCUGA
rnacentral:rRNA from 1 species